AUCAGUCGGUUCUGUUACCACCAUUUGCAGAGAUGGAAGCCGAAGCUCAGAGUCAUUAGUUAACUGGCUCAAGGUCACACAGCUAGGACUCUGUGUUUCCCUCCAGGCAUGUCAACCACAGCAUCCACGCUCUUAUCCUCAACACCAAUGUCACUGCUCCUGUGUGGGACAGAGGUUCACAGCAUGGCAAUGAGCAAAACCUUUAUGCACAUCCGCAUUCACAUGACUGAGCUACAGAUGGUCAGCCAAAGAAGAUAACGAUGAAAGUUCAAGGUUGCAGAGAGUCAGAGGCACAUAUUAGCUUUAAAGAGAAAGUCAGUACUUUGUAGGGAGGGGCCUUCCUCUGGUCCCAGGGAAAUGGCUCCCAGGCUGUGGUGCAGGAUAGCCGGGCUCUGUGAAAAGGCUGCCUUUUGAAGCAUUUUUCUGAAAGAGGGAUGAUCAAAGCUGAUAUCCUCCACAGGACUUUCCUGGCAGUCCAGAGGUUGGGAAUUAGCCUUCCAGUGCAGAGCAUGGUGGCUCUCUCCCUGGUUGGGGAACUAAGAUCCCACAUGCCUUGGGGCCAAAACAUAAAAACAAAAGCAAUAUUGUAACAAAUUCAAUAAAGAUUUUUAAAAUUAUUCAAAUCAAAAAAAUCUUAAAAAAAAAAAAAAAAAAGCUGACGUCUUUCUUGAAUGAAGCACUCAGAGCCACUGAGAGCCCCACAAUAGCAUCCCUGAGAUGAGUGCUUGUCCACUUCUGUGCUCCCGCUUUAAGAGGAGGGUGGGCAAGGUCAGGUUACUGAGGGUGCAGGUAGAGGGAGGGGCGAGCAGUGGGGACAAUGACUAAUAGUGGGAGCCCUGUAAAAGGGCAGCUGGGAAGAUUGUCACAAGCACAAGCGGGAGACAGGGGGCAGACAUCCAGAGGAAGUGGUUUUCCUGAAGGCUUGCUAAGAGCACCAGAGGUUCUGGGAACACUGAGGACGUCGUGGGAAGUCAAAUUCAGCCUGAUUUCCAUUGAAGGCCAUGUUGUUGUGGCUUCAAGACAAGGCUUGAAUGCUCUCCUGAACUUCGGGACACAGGUGCCAGGCUCCCAAACAAUUGAGUCCACCUUCGAGGAUCAGAAGGGAAAGCAAGAGCAGAAGCACUUGGUCUGUUGCAAAGUGGGAGCUAUUGCCCUCAAGUUGAGGUCAGCAGCCUUCACAUACAGAUGGUGUUCUUGGAAAGAUGUACAAGAAUCCACGUUGGCCAGACUGCUUCUGGAUCCAGUGCCUCCACGAUGCAGAGAUCAUAUCCAAAGCCCACAGAGGGCAAUGUAGCAAAGACGUUUAAAAAACAUGAAGUCAAGAAUCAAGCAGACCUGGUUCCAAGCCUAGCUCUGCCUCUCAACACCCUCUUCUUGUAAGUUUCUUAACCCUUCUGAGCCUCAAUCUUACUUAUCUGUAAAAUGACCAUAAUGUUAAUAACUCCCUCAAGAUUGUUGUGAAAAUUAAAUGAGAUUAGGCUUAGUGGAGUGUUUAGUUGCUGAUACGUGCUAACAGAAAUAAUAUUAUCAUUAUGUUUAUUCAUCUCUGAAGAUGCCUUGUAAGUGAACCAUCUCUCUUCACAGAGAAUGAGCCAUUUUGCAAAUAUUACUCCACCUGGGAAAGAAGAAAAGACCCCUGCUGACGGUGGGGAAAGAAAUUAAAUGGACACAGGUAGACUUCUGCCUUCAGCUCUUUGAUCAAGGCUAGUUAGGACUCUGCAGGGAGCCUUUCAGAUCCUACAGAGGAGACACUCCUUAAAUAGUUCACAUCAUUGUAUGUUUAUGGUUUCAGAGUAAAUGAGGAUCUUUGAAGAGUGGUCUUCCAUCAGUCAUGUUCUUUCCUCUGCUCAUAGAAAAAGAUCACUUCAUUUGGUGCUGGGAUGUGACCAUAAAAAUAGGGAUGGCAGACACAAGGCAGUGAAGUAAAACCCUGCCAGCUGAGUGGGACUUUGCAUCAUGACUAAUGAAAAAGGGAUGGCAUGACAGUGGCCAUUCAUUAGGAAACGUUUGACUUUCCCCAUCCCUGAUGAUGGAGUUAUACAGCCAAGCUUGCCAAGAGGACGUGAGGGAUGAGUUUUUUGAGACUGAGACCUCAAAAGAGAGAAGGUAUGAAGUCCAUCACUUCAGCUGAUUGCACACCAAGAUGUAUAAACUAUGUUGACAAAUUCCCACCAACAUGUAUAAACUACUUUGGCCAGCAGAAUCUCAUCGCAGCUGCCUAUGUCAGGGCAUGCAUGUGAGUGUGUGUGUGUGUGUGUGUGAGUGACUCAGUCACUUAGUCAUGUCCAACUCUUUACAAACCUCUGAACUGUAGGACUGUAGAUUGCUGGGAUCCUCUUUCCACUGGAUCCUCCAGGCAAGAAUACUGAAGUGGGUUGCCAUGCCCUCCUCCAGGGGAUCUUCCCAACCCAAGGAUCAAACCGCCAUCUUUUGCAUCUCCUGCAUUGCAGGCAGGUUCUUUACUGCUGAGCCACUGGGGAAGCCCUGCCAGGGUAUCACCGGCCAAAGUACAACUAAAUGGUAGGGUUCAUGGCCAAGAUGAACUGGAAGAAUUUUUAAAAAAAAGAGAGAGGAAUGAAAAAGUUUGCCAGAUGUUCAACAGGAAUCUCCCUAAAACAAACAAAAAAAUCAAAAGCCAUUUUUCUCAGCUAUAUAUCUGCUAUGAUAUUAACAUCUUCAUUUAGAUAUCAAUUUGUUGACUUUUAAAACAUGGAGAAGUCAGGGUCACAGAGUUAAAGAACCUCUCCCUUGUCUAAGACCUACAAUGUCUUCAUUUCUAUUAAAAUUGGGCAAAUAAUUCCCAAAUGCCAAUGGGGAGUCCAGGGCUGGUCAGAAUCAUCUGAGAAACAUACGGGAACUACGGAUGCCGUGAACUUACCCCACACAGACUUACUGGGACCCCAGGGGUGGGGCCCCAUGGUUUUAAGCAUCUUGCCAACAUCCGCUGGAUCAUGGAAAAAGCAAGAGAGUUCCAGAAAAACAUCUAUUUCUGCUUUAUUGACUAUGCCAAAGCCUUUGACUGUGUGGAUCACAAUAAACUGUGGGAAAUUCUGAAAGAGAUGGGAAUA
rnacentral:lncRNA from 1 species